rnacentral:tRNA from 1 species
GCAAGGUGCGAAGCCGCUUGUCCCUCCGGGGGGCAAGGCCUCCGUUCCUCAUUUCGAGCUUUGCA